AGAUGUGAAGCCAGCACAUCUCCUGUUUCUUCUCACCACAGGUGGAGGUGCUUAGAAAAGCCCUGGGUUAUCACCAGGAGAGGCUUGGAAUAACCCAGGACAGAAGUUUAACAUCUUUCUUCUCUUGGCCAUGAUGCAGCUUGUGGCUGGGGAAGUGUGCUGAGACCUCUCAGCUGGAGGGGGAUGUUUUUGGAGACCUCCUGAACCUCAACAACUCUGCCCAGAGACGUGGAGGCUGGUAAGAGAAGCCAAAAAGUGUGGGAACAUGAAAGCUGCCUUCCUCCUGGUCUCCUCCUGAUUGUCCUUUGUGUGGUGUUGCAUCUUAUGAAGCUUUCAAGGAAGUCACCUUGCUGAGACCUGGAUUUCUGACAGAGGAGAAAAAAAUUGAAG